GAAUGCUUGGGAAGGUCACUGGGAGACCAAGAGGAAGUGGGGAGAGACAUUGUCAGACAAGGAGGAGACUCUCAUUGAGAAUGCUUGGGAAGGUCACUGGGAGACCAAGAGGAAGUGGGGAGAGACAUUGUCAGACAAGGAGGAGACUCUCAUUGAGAAUGCUCGGGAAGGUCACUGGGAGACCAAGAGGAAGUGGGGAGAGACAUUCCCAGUUUUGAGUCGCUAGAAUUCCUCAUCCAGGGUCAAUGGUUCUUCGUGUCAGGAAGAAAUCUAGGGAAGUGUAAAUGCUUUACAGUUGGGCGGUAAAGCGCUCUGGCAGCAUUCUCACCGAAGUUGUGAUCAUGGGAGAUAGAUGUUGGGAGUCCCUGUCAGGAUGAUAUUCAGCUUUGUAUUAUAUAUUUGAAUUGUAAUCGACCUUAUGGUCUCUUGUAACUUAAAUAAUUUUCUUAGGAAUUAUAAAUCUCUUGGCUUAUGUAUUUCAAGAUUGUGUCAAGAUAUAACACUAUGCAUCCUCUUUUGUAUAUUAAUUUUAAUGGAUUAAUUGAUAAACCAAUUUUAAAAUUU